rnacentral:rRNA from 1 species
AGCGCGGUGGUCCCACCUGAUCCCAUGCCGAACUCAGAAGUGAAACGCCGUAGCGCCGAUGGUAGUGUGGGGUCUCCCCAUGCGAGAGUAGGGA